rnacentral:rRNA from 1 species
UACAGAGACUGCAAGCGUUAUUCGGAUUCACUGGGCGUAAAGGGUGCGCAGGCGGCCAAGUGUGUUAGGCGUGAAAGCCUGAGGCUUAACCUCAGAAUUGCACCUAAAACUACAUGGCUAGAGCAUUGGAGAGGGUAGCGGAAUUCACGGUGUAGCAGUGAAAUGCGUAGAUAUCGUGAGGAACACCAGAGGCGAAGGCGGCUACCUGGACAAUUGCUGACGCCCAGGCACGAAAGCGUGGGGAGCAAAAGGG